rnacentral:tRNA from 1 species
GCCUUCGUGGCGUAGUGGUCAGCACGCUCGGCGCGUAUUCGAGAGGUCCAUGGUUCGAGUCCCGGCGACGGCA